CCUACGGGUGGCUGCAGUGAGGAAUAUUGGUCAAUGGACGCAAGUCUGAACCAGCCAAGUAGCGUGCAGGAUGACGGCCCUCCGGGUUGUAAACUGCUUUUAGUUGGGAAUAAAAGGGGGCUCGUGAGCCCCGUAUUGUAUGUACCAUCAGAAAAAGGACCGGCUAAUUCCGUGCCAGCAGCAGCGGUAAUACGGAAGGGCCGGGCGUUAUCCGGAUUUAUUGGGUUUAAAGGGAGCGUAGGCCGGCUUUUAAGUCAGCUGUGAAAGUCCGCGGCUCAACCGUGGAAUUGCAGUUGAAACGGGAGGCCUUGAGUGCACACAGGGAUGCCGGAAUUCCUGGUGUAGCGGUGAAAUGCAUAGAUAUCACGCAGAACCCCGAUUGCGAAGGCAGCAUGCCGGCUUCCGACUGACGCUGAAGCACGAAAGCGUGGGGAUCGAACAGGAUUAGAUACCCUUGUAGUC
rnacentral:rRNA from 1 species